rnacentral:rRNA from 1 species
AUAUUGGACAAUGGGGGUAACCCUGAUCCAGCCAUGCCGCCAGUGUGAAGAAGGUCUUCGGAUUGUACAGCACUUCAAGCUGGGGGGAAGGGCUUUAGUCUAAUACCCUGAAGUUUUGACGUUACCAGCAGAAUAAGCACCGGCUAACUCAGUGCCAGCAGCCGCGGUAAUACAGAGGGUGGAAGCGUUAAUCGGAAUUACUGGGCGUAAAGCGCGCGUAGGUGGUUCAGUAAGAUGGGUGUGAAAUCCCCGGGCUUAACCUGGGAACUGCUUUCAUAACUGCUGAGCUAGAGUACGGUAGAGGGUAGUGGAAUUUCCUGUGUAGCGGUGAAAUGCGUAGAUAUAGGAAGGAACACCAGUGGCGAAGGCGACUACCUGGACUGAUACUGACACUGAGGUGCGAAAGCGUGAGGAGCAAAC